rnacentral:tRNA from 1 species
GAGGAAAUAACAGAUUGGUUAUGUGGUUAACUUGAAAUUA